UACGUAGGGGGCAAGCGUUGUCCGGAUUUACUGGGCGUAAAGCGCACGUAGGCGGCCCGUUAAGUCGGAUGUGAAAUCCCUCGGCUCAACCGAGGACGUGCAUUCGAAACUGGCGGGCUCGAGUAUGGAAGAGGGUCGCGGAAUUCCCGGUGUAGAGGUGAAAUUCGUAGAUAUCGGGAGGAACACCAGUGGCGAAGGCGGCGACCUGGGCCAAUACUGACGCUGAGGUGCGAAAGCGUGGGGAGCAAACAGG
rnacentral:rRNA from 1 species